UGUCACUGUGGUGUGACCCUGGGUGCCGCUCACUCUCUGAGAUCCCAUUCCACAUGGGGAUAAUUAUGGCACCCACUUGAAAGGCCCUGUGAGCACUAAAGGGUGAGCAGGUGUGGUCCGGAAGCAGCCUGGGACCACUGGUGCCCCGCAGCCCCGCCAGGUUCUGGCGGCAGGACCCACGAGGACAGGGUCCUUGUCCCAGCCCAGGUGCCAGACAUGGCCGCCUCCCCAUGGUCAAGGGAGCUGUGCCGAGCUCCCGUGGCGUGGUUUACAGGGACGCGUCAGGGUCCAGAGUGGGGUCGCUGGAGAGGCCCUGGCCAUAUCAUGAUUCCAUAUGAUUAAAACUGCCACCACUUCAGAGAGACAAGGGACCAGCGUCCUGGUCAAAAUGAGCUGCAGAAGAGUCACCUGCCGGGAGAGGCUUGAAGGCAGGGGAGGAGAGAAGAUGGACGGGGCCAGGAGGACAGAGGUGCUGAAAAGGCAGGAAGGGUCCCCAGGGCAAGCAGGGUGCAGGGUCAGGAUGCCCUCACAGUGAGUCCAGCUCUGUGCUUCUUGGUCCUUGGGGGGAACGAGCCACAGCACUCACCCGGGCCAUCCCGGCCGAGGAAGUGCCCGGCCCUCAGCCAGGCUGCCCCUGGGGGCCAAGCUCCAGCCAAGCCCAAAGCUCCAGGGUGCUCAGCCAUCAGAGGCAAGAGAGAGAAGGUUCCAUCGGGGACAGACCCAGCGGCCGGCACCCACCAGCCAGGAGCUGGCUCUUCCCACCACGAUUGCCAUGGACCCAAGGGCAGGGAGGACGCCUGUCCAACCAGAGCUGCUGUCCAUCUGCCGCCCACGACAGCUGUCCGAGAAGGCAGCUUCAAGGAGCUUCCGGGUCACUGACCCAAAGCCCUCGCCUUCCCCGAGGCCCCUCUGCCCUUUCAUUGGGGGAGGGGUCACAGACCCAGGUGGAUGCUCUGGGACCCCAGCUGCACCUCCGGCCAGCCACCUGUGCCCGCUGUGCCCUGGGGAGUGACUGUGUCACGGCUUCGGGCUCAUCACCCACGACCGUCCAAAACCUGACUCUGCUAUCCGGUCCCAAUCCUCCCCACAAGGGCAUGUGCGUCACAUUUCUCCAACCACGACCCCCAAGUUUUAAACAAGUUGCACUUCUUAAA